rnacentral:miRNA from 1 species
UACAACUCUGAUUCUAUGUCUUGU